rnacentral:rRNA from 1 species
GCAUAACGCGAAGAACCUUACCUGGCCUUGACAUCCAUGGAAUCCCGAAGAGAUUCGGGAGUGCCGCAAGGAACCAUGAGACAGGUGCUGCACGGCUGUCGUCAGCUCGUGUCGUGAGAUGUUGGGUUAAGUCCCGCAACGAGCGCAACCCUCGUCACUAGUUACUAACGGUUCGGCCGAGGACUCUAGUGAGACUGCCUUCGUAAGGAGGAGGAAGGUGAGGACGACGUCAAGUCAUCAUGGCCCUUACGGCCAGGGCGACACACGUGCUACAAUGGGAUGUACAAUGAGACGCAAUACCGCGAGGUGGAGCAAAUCUAUAAAACAUCUCUCAGUUCGGAUUGUAGUCUGCAACUCGACUACAUGAAGCUGGAAUCACUAGUAAUCGUAGAUCAGCCAUGCUACGGUGAAUACGUUCCC